CAUUACUUUACAGAUUUAUUUACAUUAAUAAAUACUAAUGCUACUAUUUUUAUUUUUACUAUUUAAAAUAUAAUUGAACAUUUUGGUUUGUAAAGACAGCAUACCAUUAUUAUCACCUUUCUGUUAACUGUUUUUCUCAACACACACAAAAAACAUUAUUAUUCUAGUGACAUUAGUGCAUAUCUGGAGGAAAGUGUACAAAUGGUUGGCUUCUAGGAGAUUCAGGAUAUCCUUUAAAACCAUUCCUAAUGACUCCUGUGCUCAAUGGGGAAACACCAGCAGAAAUGCGAUACAACCAGGCACAUAAAAAAUGUAGGUCCAGACAGGAGCGUCUCUUUGGAGUUUGGAAGAGCAGAUGGAGAUGCCAUGACACUAGUGGAGGCUACCUCCAAUAUUCCCCAGAGAAGGUUGUUCUUUUCAUCAAAGCUACAGCUGUCUUGCACAACAUGUGCAGAAUGGCAAACCUUCCUGACCCAGAAGUGGAUGUAGUAGAGGAGGAUGAAGCAAUACUUCCACCACAAGGACCUAACCCUGGGCUCCACAUGAGGAAUCAGCUUAUUCAAAGAUUUUUUUGCACAUUAAAAACAAC